rnacentral:rRNA from 1 species
UACCAGCACCCCGAGUGGUCGGGACGAUUAUUGGGCCUAAAGCAUCCGUAGCCGGUUCUGCAAGUCCCCCGUUAAAUCCAGCUGCUCAACAGGUGGGCUGCGGAAGAUACUAUAGAGCUAGGAGGCGGGAGAGGCAAGCGGUACUCGAUGGGUAGGGGUAAAAUCCGUUGAUCCAUUGAAGACCACCAGUGGCGAAGGCGGCUUGCCAGAACGCGCUCGACGGUGAGGGAUGAAAGCUGGGGGAGCAAACCGG